GUUGUUUCAAGCUGGUGUGUCUAAGUUGUAGGCAUUUUAACUGCUUAGGUAAAGGGAUUUUCUCUUAUGAAUACGUUGAGAUAGUUAAUAACAUGCUUUCAUGGGAAGUUAAGAAAAUAAGUGAUGUGCAAGCUUAAAUGAAUCGGUUUCAUAACUAAUAUGGCACACUAGCUUAGAUAAGGAUGUCUUGAUCUGGGGUACCAGGUUACUAUAUU